rnacentral:rRNA from 1 species
GAUGAACGCUAGCGGCAGGCUUAAUACAUGCAAGUCGAGGGGCAGCAGGACUGUAGCAAUACAGUUGCUGGCGACCGGCAAACGGGUGCGGAACACGUACGCAACCUACCCAAAACUGGGGGAUAGCCCGGGGAAACCCGGAUUAAUACCUCGUAACCUUUUUAAGUGGCAUCACUUGAUAAGUAUAGCUCCGGCGGUUUUGGAUGGGCGUGCGCCUGAUUAGGUAGUUGGUGCGGGUAACGGCCCACCAAGCCUGCGAUCAGUAACUGGUGUGAGAGCACGACCAGUAACACGGGCACUGAGACACGGGCCCGACUCCUACGGGAGGCAGCAGUAAGGAAUAUUGGUCAAUGGACGCAAGUCUGAACCAGCCAUGCCGCGUGAAGGAUGAAGGUCCUCUGGAUUGUAAACUUCUUUUAUGGGGGACGAAACCCGGAUAUUCUUAUCCGAUUGACGGUACCUCAGGAAUAAGCACCGGCUAACUCCGUG